rnacentral:rRNA from 1 species
UACAGAGGGGGCGAGCGUUGUCCGGAAUUAUUGGGCGUAAAGAGCUCGUAGGCGGUGUGUCGCGUCGGCCGUGAAAACCUGCAGCUUAACUGUGGGCUUGCGGUCGAUACGGGCAUCACUGGAGUUCGGCAGGGGAGACUGGAAUUCCUGGUGUAGCGGUGAAAUGCGCAGAUAUCAGGAGGAACACCGGUGGCGAAGGCGGGUCUCUGGGCCGAUACUGACGCUGAGGAGCGAAAGCGUGGGGAGCGAACAGG